UCGCAAGACCUUGCGCUGAUUGAGCGGCCGAUGUCAGAUUAGCUAGUUGGUGAGGUAAAGGCUCACCAAGGCGACGAUCUGUAGCGGGGUCUGAGAGGAUGAUCCGCCACACUGGAACUGAGACACGGUCCAGACUCCUACGGGAGGCAGCAGUGGGGAAUUUUGGACAAUGGGGGCAACCCUGAUCCAGCCAUGCCGCGUGAGUGAAGAAGGCCUUCGGGUUGUAAAGCUCUUUCGGCCGGGAAGAAAUCGCAUGGGUUAAUACCCUGUGCGGAUGACGGUACCGGCAUAAGAAGCACCGGCUAACUACGUG
rnacentral:rRNA from 1 species